rnacentral:lncRNA from 1 species
CUGGGAAGAUUCACCCUUUGGCCUUGGAAGAGCUUCUGCAGAUGUACCAUUUGUAGCAGAAACAUUUGUUUGAGUUCCUAGCUGCUGCACAUUGCACCUGUGAUGCUGCCCAACAAGAUCAGACACCUGCCCAGCCUGUGCACUAGUAGUAAUGUGAUCUGCAGAGGACUACAUUGUCCCAGCAUUAUCCAAAUUUGAC